AAUCGAUGCGAGCUGAAAAUAAAUCGUCCUAGAUGCGUAAUGGUUGAAAAAGAACAACAAAUAAUUGAAGCACAAAGUAAUGGAUUUAAAAAUCAGAAUCGAAGUGAUCGCGUUUUACGUCAGUGAAGGUGUGCCGCAGGACUUUGAUAACCAAUGAGCUCGCAUAUGGGAUAUGUACAUUACAUUAUUGCAAUACAUAAUGCUUCUUGGUUUGUGUUACACGUCUCUGCGCAUGCCUAAUGAACAAGAUAAAACGUUACAAGAAAUGGAUAGAAAAAAAGAAUGCUUAAUGGGGAUCACCGCGAAA